GUAUCCUACGGGGCGCAGCAGUGGGGAAUAUUGCACAAUGGGCGAAAGCCUGAUGCAGCAACGCCGCGUGAAGGAAGAAGGGUUUCGGCUCGUAAACUUCUAUCAACAGGGACGAAAGAAAUGACGGUACCUGAAUAAGAAGCCCCGGCUAACUACGGGCCAGCAGCCGCGGUAAUACGUAGGGGGCAAGCGUUAUCCGGAAUUACUUGGUGUCAAGGGGGAGAAGGCGGCAUGGUAAGCCAGAUGUGAAAGCC
rnacentral:rRNA from 1 species